rnacentral:rRNA from 1 species
AGAGUUUGAUCCUGGCUCAGGACGAACGCUGGCGGCGUGCCUAAUACAUGCAAGUCGAACGCACUGACGGAGAACUUGUUCUCUUGACGUGAGUGGCGCACGGGUGAGUAACACGUGGGAAACCUACCCUUCAGCGGGGGAUAACCAUCGGAAACGAUGACUAAUACCGCAUAGACGACAGAACCGCCUGGUUCAAUCGGGAAAGACGGCUUCGGCUGUCACUGAAGGAUGGUCCCGCGCUGCAUUAGCUAGUUGGUAGGGUAACGGCUUACCAAGGCGAUGAUGCAUAGCCGACCUGAGAGGGUGAUCGGCCACAUUGGGACUGAGACACGGCCCAAACUCCUACGGGAGGCAGCAGUAGGGAAUCUUCCGCAAUGGACGCAAGUCUGACGGAGCAACGCCGCGUGUGUGAAGAAGGUUUUCGGAUCGUAAGCACUGUUAUUAGAGAAGAACAGCCGAUAGAGUAACUGUUAUCGGUUUGACGGUAUCUAACCAGAAAGUGACGGCUAACUACGUGCCAGCAGCCGCGGUAAUACGUAGGUCACAAGCGUUGUCCGGAUUUAUUGGGCGUAAAGGGAGCGCAGGCGGUUUGUUAAGUCUGAUGUGAAAGCCCACGGCUCAACCGUGGAACGGCAUUGGAAACUGGCAAACUUGAGUAUAGAAGAGGAAAGUGGAAUUCCAUGUGUAGCGGUGAAAUGCGUAGAUAUAUGGAGGAACACCAGUGGCGAAGGCGACUUUCUGGUCUAUAACUGACGCUGAGGCUCGAAAGCG